UGUCCCCUGCGGGGCGCGUGAUGCCCAGCGGAAAUUCGAACCGAUACGUCCGUUCCGGGGUCCGUUUCGGCUUCCAUGUGCAAGCCCUCCCCUCUCACGAGGGAUGAGGGAAGCCUGCGGAGGCAUGAUUUCGGUCCCCACCUGGCUUUUAGGGUUCAAUGGACGCUGGGCACACGGCCAUGCGGCGGGGGACUU
rnacentral:other from 2 species